UAGUCCACGCUGUAAACGAUGGUCACUCGGUGCUGCGGGUAUCGACCCCUGCAGUGCCUUAGCUAACGCGUUAAGUAGACCGCCUGGGGAGUACGGUCGCAAGAUUAAAACUCAAAUGAAUUGACGGGGGCCCGCACAAGCGGUGGAGCAUGUGGUUUAAUUCGAUGCAACGCGAAGAACCUUACCUACUCUUGACAUCCAGAGAACUUUCCAGAGAUGGAUUGGUGCCUUCGGGAACUCUGAGACAGGUGCUGCAUGGCUGUCGUCAGCUCGUGUUGUGAAAUGUUGGGUUAAGUCCCGCAACGAGCGCAACCCUUAUCCUUGUUUGCCAGCGAGUAAUGUCGGGAACUCCAGGGAGACUGCCGGUGAUAAACCGGAGGAAGGUGGGGACGACGUCAAGUCAUCAUGGCCCUUACGAGUAGGGGCUACACACGUGCUACAAUGGCGCAUACAGAGGGCAGCCAACUCGCGAGAGUGAGCGAAUCCC
rnacentral:rRNA from 1 species